rnacentral:rRNA from 1 species
GACGAACGCUGGCGGCGUGCCUAAUACAUGCAAGUUGAGCGCUGAAGGUUGGUACUUGUACCAACUGGAUGAGCAGCGAACGGGUGAGUAACGCGUGGGGAAUCUGCCUUUGAGCGGGGGACAACAUUUGGAAACGAAUGCUAAUACCGCAUAAAAACUUUAAACACAAGUUUUAAGUUUGAAAGAUGCAAUUGCCUCACUCAAAGAUGAUCCCGCGUUGUAUUAGCUAGUUGGUGAGGUAAAGGCUCACCAAGGCGAUGAUACAUAGCCGACCUGAGAGGGUGAGCGGCCACAUUGGGACUGAGACACGGCCCAAACUCCUACGGGAGGCAGCAGUAGGGAAUCUUCGGCAAUGGACGAAAGUCUGACCGAGCAACGCCGCGUGAGUGAAGAAGGUUUUCGGAUCGUAAAACUCUGUUGGUAGAGAAGAAAGUUGGUGAGAGUGGAAAGCUCAUCAAGUGACGGUAACUACCCAGAAAGGGACGGCUAACUACGUG